ACGGUAAAUUAUAUAGAUACCCACAAAAAGAAAUCAAAUACAAGACAAAAAGUUAGAAUAGAAAUAUAUAAGAAAAAAAAAUAAAGGAAGAGAGCUUUUGAGAUGGUUGGUUGUAAUAAGAAAGACACGAAGGUGGUCAUGUCUUGUCCAUUUUGACACAAAGUGUUUCAAAGCCAAAUUGAUAGGUUUGAUUUGAUUUUCAAAUCAUGAAUCUGUUACUUCAGAGAACAAAUUUAUAUACAAUUAUUAUAGCCUACUUAUACCAUAUAGCUUUGUCUAUUGUUUUCUUGUAGGUCUAAGCAUAAAUAAACCCUACCGAAGAAUCUUAUAGACCAAAACCAUGAUUUAAGACAUAGCACUAUUCGUAUAUGUGUUUUGGUUUUAAAAAUGUGACGUGUUUUGAACGGAUGGUCGAUAGCAUCAAUCGAGAAAUUUCAUUACUGUUUGGGUUUGUUGUUAUUGACUUGAGCACGUUAAAGAAAAGUUAAAACAGAAUAAUUAUGGAAUCUUCAAAAAAUAUCUAGAAAACCUAUGUAUUCUUGAAAUUUAUUUUCGAAGUUGAUUAACAAAAAAAAAAAUUGCAAAAGUUUUGAUAUAACAUUCAAUAAUUAGGAAGAAAAAAAGUCAGUAAGGUCUUUUGAAAGAUUUAUAUUCAUAAAAUUAUUUCGAAGUACUACGUCUAAUUUAUCAAGUGAAAGUUUUAAAGCAGUUUAAGUUUUGUUACUAAUCUAUAUGCAAAACAUGUGAUUUUUUUGUACAAUAUAUUUAUAUAUCUGUUAUAGAAUAAAUGUUUGAUAUAACUUAUAGAGUUUGAGAAAUUAAUUUAUGACAUUGAAAGUAGUCGUAGAUCUCUACUUUUGUUUUUUCACAUCUUUUUAAAUCACCAAUAUAAAGAUUUCUCAGACAAACAGACGUUUAUUUAUUUGUUUUUGAGAUAAUCAUUUUUAAACACUCGUUUCGUAAUUGUCGAUCGAUUCUAGCGAAUUUCCAAUUUGAUUUCAAGGCAAGCAGAGGGUCAGAAUAAGCAUCUAGCACAGAAUCUUCAAGUUUUUCCCGUCCUCGUUCAGCAACUCCGCACCCCCAAACCCCCUAGCAUUCGUCGCCAUCAUCCUCCUUUAAACGAUCACAGGGGCAUGGACUCUACAACCAACCCCUAGAAUCGAAUUAAUACAAUUUAAUAGAAUCGAGCUCUGGUAUGGGAAAUAACAUCAAAUUUACAUAACAUCUCAUUCAUCGAUACGGCGAUUUCCGGCUACGUUUAAACUAACGUUAAAACAAAUAUUUAUAUUCACUUAAUAAAUAUCAAUAUAUCUAUUUAUAGAAUAGUUAAUAAAAUAACAGCGCUAAAAAUCACUUUAAAAUAAAAGAAAAAUAAUAAUACAAAAUAAUAUUAUGAUAAGUUGAUAACUCAAUUAUCAUCUACCGUAAGAAAAUGAACAAUGUAUCAAUCGUUUGAUAAAUUUGAACAAAGUAGUGCACUAGUAUUAAAAGCUUAGUUCCAUCGAUGCUCCACUCUCAUAACAAUUUGCCAAUUUGAAUUAGAUCCAGCACAAGAAUACUUGUCAUGGGUCAAAAACAAACUAAUUGAUAAAGUUAAGCACCAUAUUCUAAAUAUCAUGUACUAGAGUCUCUAGACAUUGACACUUUGUCUAUGUAUGAGACAAAAAAUCUAGGCAUUACGAAUAACUCUUGUUUAAAGUGAAUCUUAGAUUGUCUUUCAAUUCUAUAACAACUCAAAACCAUUCAUAGCUAGACACAAAAACAUGAAUCUCUAUUUUGUCGACAUGAUCAUAUGAUCUUCAAGUUAGGACCAAAAACUUUAAACAAACCAAAACAAAAAAGGUUAGGACCAAACUUUAAACAAAACUACAGUCAGUUAUCAACAUUUCUUACUGUUUGCAUGAACAUGCUUCUGUUUCUAUUAAUGCAAUCUAUGUGAUUGAUUAUAAUUUGGGAACUUGGCCAAAUGACAAGAAAAGCAAAUGACUGAGUUAUGUGUCUUGUUUUUAACUUUUGUUACCGUAAAAUUAUAGUUUUUUGUAUAUGAUUUUUGAAUACAAGACCAGUCUGAAAGAUUUAUAUAAACAGAUCCGUAAUACAAAACAUAUAUAACACAACGCCGACAAAAUCAAAUUGUGAAAAUUGUUAUAACGACACUUAAUAUGAAACUGAUAGAAUAAUUUUCAUCGAUAAUUUCGAAUAUUUUGGUAUUAUCAAUCUUAUUGAACUAUCAAUUAAUUUUCCCGAUUUAAGUGAAUCUCUUUCAUUUGCUAAGACUGGGACACUAACAAGAAUCCAACCCCAAAUUAAAAAGUUAAUAAGUUUAAGAUGUGAUUAUUGUAGUUACUAAAUAAAUAUUCUUCUCAGUUUAUAUGUGGUCUUCCAUCAUCUAGCAUUGUGAGUUGCUGAUAUAAUCAAACAGAUGGAGUAAAACUUAGCUUUACUUCUUUGCAUUAGAAGAAUCAUUUUUAUUUAUUUAUUUAUUUUUUUUGCAUUAGAAGAAUCAUGCAUCAUCAUUUUCAUGUGACCGAUUGGCUCGUAAAUCUCGUAAAUCAUAUAAUUUUUCACUUUGGUAGUAUAGAUUUUGGACUAUUUUUUCCAUAUAUCAUUUUGUUCACAUUUCUCUUACAUCUAAAUAACUAUUAAACUGUAUACUACAAUUGGUAUUGGCCAAAAUCGAUAUUCAAAAAUCUAACCGGGCUAAAAUAAUUGUGGAAUCAAAUCAUGCCAAACCGGGUUGGUAUAUUGGACCAAAGUAAGAAAAAAACGAAAUAGAUGGUUCUCAUCAUCCCUCAGGUAAAGCAAAAUAUUCAUAAAGAUGAAAAUAAUAAGCCAAUAAACAUAGAGAUUAUAUUGGCUAUGAACGAAUCAUUCAACAGCAAAAGAUACUGCAGCUCCAAUGUCUUUUUAUAUUAUUCCUAUGUUACUUUUAGUAAAUUAGGAAGUUGAGGCUAAUGUUAUUAACUUCACUCUCAAGAAAAGGUGAUCAAGAAGAUAUGUACCACGACUAGACAAUAUAAAACUACUGUUUUGAUUCAACUUGUUUGUGUGUGCAUGUUUUGUUUUGUAUAUAUAAUAAUUAUGAUUUCUGUUUCUUUUUCUAUUAUAAAUAAUUGGUUCGAUGAAUUUAGAAGAUGUUUUUUCAUUUUUGAUUAAAAUCUACAUGUGGGUGCUGUGUGGUAAGCUUUCUAAUUCAUAUAGUAAAAAAANN
rnacentral:lncRNA from 1 species